CGAACAUGGAUACCCUAGGAGGUCCCUCUCCCUGGGCUCUGUUCUAGUGUCUUAGGGGAGCACAGGGCUCUGCUCUGUUAUGUACUGUCCCUUUCCACAACAUUGGAGGUGAAGCUGGGCUACCAGUCUAUGCCUGCAUAUUCCUACAAUUUCUCAGAGUCCUGUGGAUGGUGACAGAGGAGACAACCCAUGCAGGAAACAAAA